GUGCAUGCCACUAUUGUACCCUUAAGA
rnacentral:piRNA from 1 species